UACGUAGGGUCCAAGCGUUAUCCGGAAUCACUGGGCGUAAAGCGUGCGUAGGUGGAUUGUUAAGUGCGAUGCGAAAUCCUGUGGCUCAACCAUAUGGACUGUAUCGCAUACUGGCUAUCUAGAGGACAUGAGAGGCAAGUGGAAUUACUGGUGUAGCAGUGAAAUGCGUAGAGAUCAGUAGGAACACCAAUGGCGAAGGCAGCUUGCUGGCAUGUAUCUGACGCUAAGGCACGAAAGCGUGGGGAGCAAACAGG
rnacentral:rRNA from 1 species